CACGUAGGGGGCAAACGUUGUCCGGAAUUACUGGGCGUAAAGCGCGCGUAGGCGGUCAAUUAAGUCAGGUGUGAAAGGCCCGGGCUUAACCCGGGUAUUGCACUUGAAACUGAUUGACUUGAGGACAGGCGAGGGAAGUGGAAUUCCUAGUGUAGCGGUGAAAUGCGUAGAUAUUAGGAAGAACACCAGUGGCGAAGGCGACUGACUGGACAAGUAUUGACGCUGAGGUACGAAAGCGUGGGGAGCAAACAGG
rnacentral:rRNA from 1 species